CCUGCGUCCGCGCGCCGGGCUCCCCGCCCCUUCGCCGCUGCCGAGCGCAGGUCAGGAGAGGAGAAGGAGGGGGGGAGCGCCGCGUGGAGCUGCCUUCCCAUUGGCCGCUGGCCGGAGUCCUUCUCCUCCUGCCUUGCUGGGCUCUCCCGGGAGCGAGGACGUCGGCGGGGGCCGAUUGUCGCCGCCUGCGGCUAGUGCGGCCGGGAUUGCAGCCGCAAAAUGCUGGAGGAUUUGACCAGGGAUGUGAUGAGUUGAAAGGCGGCGGCGGCGGCGGCCCGAGAGUGUUGUUUUCCUUUCUGAGGAGUGGCAGCUAUCAUGACUGUCUUCAGGCAAGAGAACCUGGAUGAUCACUAUGAGAUCGGGGAGGAACUUGGAAGAUGUUUUAAGCAAUCGGCUCAUCAUGCAAUUUCAGAAGACCAAAGCAGAUUUCGGUGGAAAUGAUUAUGAAAUGCAAGCAAAUAUAAGCCUGUUUCUGUUUAGUUCUCUUGCGGUUGCAAGCAGUGUGGCUGUGCAUUUUAAAUAAACAAUUCUGCCGUUCUUUUAUGAUA